GUGAAUAAUAAAUGCUCGUGCAGUGGUGCAGGGUAUCGGUCAAGUUGAUAUGGCCAUGAAAUUGCUGUACUUGUGCUAUUAUUUAUUCCGUGGUCAAAGUUACAUAAAUGAUGAGUUAUCCAUUGGUCUGUGAAGUGUGAUUUUGCCGCCCCCUGAAUUUGCCGCCCGGGGCACAGGCCCCGGCUUGCCCCCCCCUAGAUCCGGGGCUGGGCAGUCGCUCCUUGUGGCACACUGGUACUCAGCUGCAUGCAGUUAGACUGGAAGCCGACACCAACAUAGUUGGGAAAAAGGCUCGGAGGAUGAUGAUGACCUUAUGUACGUAAUCAAUUGUAAUAAACGUAAUUUAUAAUUAGCAAUUUUAUUUAAUGCUUUAAGACAACCAGUAAAUUAUUUAUAUUAAUAUACUCGUUUAGAUAAUAUUUCGAGGUUUUUUCACAAUAUAUAUUCCUACAGUAAUCUCAAGCCACUUACAUUAAAUAUACGAAACACGUAGUUUACACAAAAAUAUUUCAAGAUAAUAACAAUUAACGUUAAAUAUAGCUUUCUAUAUGUUCUAGCUUAUUCUACACUCGUUGUAAGCGUAAAAAUAUCUCUUUAAGUAUAAAAAAACUGUCUUGAAAGUUGGUUUGUAAUAAUUCGCGUUUCAGAACGAUUAUUGCUAUUAGAAUGUUUUGUUUGUUAAAUAAAUAUGGAUUUCUAGUAUACACGAUAAAUGUAGAUAGUAAAAUAAUUUUUAUUUUACUGUGACAGAGAUAGUAAAAUAAUUUUUAUUUUACUGUGACAGUCAAAUUUUUUUUUGCUGGUCAUUCACUACAUUAUUAUAAAGUCCUCUUGCAAAGUGUUUCUUUGUGAAAAUCUCAAAAAUUACAACACAGAUUUCCAUGCGUUCUUUACUAAAAGAUAGAGUGAUUUUCGAUGCAGCUUUUGGUAUAUAAUUUAUACUCAUAUAAAGACGGGAUGAAACGCUGUAGUAUACCUUCAAUAAAUUAUAACAAAUUAUGCAGUUCACGCUUGACUAAAUAAAACUAUUUCUUUAUUUUUAACCAUAUAGCUAUUGACAGCAACGUUUAACGCCUUUAACGAUAAUAACAGUUACUCUUAGUAACGGUUAUUUUAAAAUAACAGUUAUUUUCAAUAACGUUAUAUGUAACUUAUGAGAUAUACAAUAAUGAACAAUUUUGUAUCUAAGUUAUUUGUGUUGCCAUAAUUAUUGUAAUAUAAUACCUUUUUUAUUGUAUAGCAACAUUAGUGAUACUCAUUUUUAAUUGUAAAUAAUUUAGUUUUUUAGUUUCGGCCGUUUUUUUUUGUCGUACGACAUUUUUGCUUGCGUUUUUUAACCGUCCUCCAUUAUAUUUUAUUUUGACUGCUUUGGGGUCAAAAAAGACUACGUAUAGGUACUCCGUUUUAGUAGGCUCUUAGGAUUUUUUACACAAAUACGUAAUAAAUGAAAUAAAUGAGCUACUGCUUAAAAUAAUGACUCAAUUGAUUUACUUUAAGUAACUAUUAUUAUUGUAUUUAGCCAUUUUUUACUGAGUUUUUAAAUAGUCUUAUUAGAAUUGUUUAUUUAUAGGUAAGUGCUUAUUCAAAUGGAGUAUGAAACAGUACCUAAAUUAAAAAAUGUCUUUACAAAGUAUUAUUUGGAUCUAGUAAUAUUAUUUUACGCAAAAAAAAUGUCGUACGAUAAAAAAAUAGCGGUCUUACAAAAUUGUCUGCCUUAUAGCAAGUAGGUAUACGGAGAACUAAAUGACUAGCGGAGAUGUCAUAACGCAAAAUCUCCUAAGAAAGUAGCGCGACAACAUGCGGGUGCGAGGGGGACGAGGAACGUUACUAGCUCCGCCCUCAUACGCCUUCUUUGGACCCCGCCCAUUUUUCAACACGCUUAUACAGGGUGUGUCGUUCACAAUCACAUUAAAUCCUAUCGCAUAUACUUUAUGAUAUUCUAUGGCGAAUUGUGAAAAAAUAACCUAAUCCAUUCUGUGGUUUAGCCACGGGAGUUAUUAUUCGUUUUUAUAAUUUACAAAAUCAUGUGUAAAGCAGAGAUAAAGUUAGGAUUAUCGAAUGUUUUGAUCAGUUGACAGCUGUCAGUUUUCAAGGGAGAAUUUCCGUUGUUUGUAAUGACUGACUUUUAUAUGGUGUUCUAAUUUUCGCACAUUUUUAUUCCGUUUACUUUGAAAAAUUCUUUUUUUUAUUUUACGGUAUAUUAACGCAUUUUAUUUAAUUUUAUUGUGAAGUGUGAAUGACACACCCAAUAUUAGCUUCACUAGUAACUAUGUAUGUAAGAAAAUCUUGGAAUCUUAAUUUGACUCACUUCCCGGUCUUCGAUUAGGAUGAAAUUUUGCACACGCUCUGAGUUCUGAUGACAAUACAUGACUAGCGUGUUUUUUUUAGAUUUUUUUACUAUUUUUCUUAAUCAACUAUUUUUGACAGAUGUUUCAAGAGACCUGAACGCCUCGUUAGUUCACUCGUAACUGGUCGUUUUGGUCAUGCUCAUUGUAAGAUUUUGACCUAGUAGUUGUCGCCUGACCUACCUGCCUUAUGUUGUCUCCGCUAUAUUUCUUCCUCCGUAAUUAGAAAACAGAGGGCAUUUCAUAUUUUGUUGAAUAAUUGUUGUGUAGUUAAUAUAUCUUUAUCUUCACUGUUAUUUGUAGCUGGCCGACUUUUUAGUCGCAAGUGUGCGCUUGUAAUCGCCUUUAGAGUGGGCGCACACUUUCGUUUGUCGCUUUGUCGACGCUUUCACAUAUCUUGUUGUUUAGCACAAAAUUCGUUGUUUUUAACGCUUCGGUUAUUUGAUGUUGUAGGUAGCGGAAAUAAUAUCUGGUAUUUUUUUACUAAUAUUAAUGAUAAAUGCUAAGUUUGUCUGUCUAUCACGCUUGUAACAUAAAACGGCUGAUCUGAUUGUGUUACAAUUUGUAAAAAAAACUUGCGUUAAUAUGAUAACUUUUUAUCUAGGUUUGUAAUUCGCAGUUCCGUCUAGAUAUAUAAUUUCAUGCAAAUCGGAUCAGCCGUUUUAUCCUUCUAUCGAAGCAAACUUGCUAUUUAUAAUAUUAGUAGAAAAAGUUGAAGCUACCUACCAUUAAAUAUUCUAUGUAUCUGAAUAUAAGCGUAAUACUUAAAUGUUAUAAAUUGUAAACAAUACUAUGUUCGUUAGAGUUGUAAUCAGAUUGAGUAUCCGGCCUUAAAAACAGGCCGAAAGCCGAAUAUUUUAGCCGAACUUUUACUUUUUAAUAAAUUUUAACAGAUAUCAAGUGAUUUUUGUUCAUUGGUUUUUAUAUAAAAAAUCAAAUAUUUAAUUUUACUUGAAGAAACUGUUUUCAGUUUGUUCAUUUUUUAUCAUUGGCAGCUAAAAUUGUCCCUGUGAUAUUUAUACACAAAAUUGGCUAGUUUUACCGGUUACUGAUAGCCUACCAGGAACAUAUUUGGCAGCCCUUAUCUAACAGAUAGCAUUAACUAUUAGAUAACUAAGUGACACUGUCCGUAACCAGUUUAAAGCUUUAAAAUAUUUAUAUUAUUUAUAUAAAAUACUAGCUGUUGCCCGCGGCUUCGCUCCCGUCAACUGAAUUCUCUACUUUACCCUAUUUUUUUUUUCAUAAGAACCUUCUCCUGACAAUAACAAACACAACAAAAAAAGAAUUAGCCAAAUUGGUCCAGGCGUUGUUGAGUAAUGCGCUUACCAACACAUUUUGCGAUUCAUUUUUAUAUUAUAGAUUCUCAUUUUUACCCAACUAUUCGUCCUUUGAUUACAACUCUAAUGCCCGUUUUCACCAACAACCUCUUACCGUUUCCCUAUCUAAAAGCUACUUUUAACAAGGACCCCUCCCAAUUUGACACCUACCUAAAUUCAUUUUCACCACACUUGUACAUGGAUCCCUUAAGUAAGUGACAGAUUACUAGUUCUACAAACGAUAAUGCAAAGUCGAUAUUUUAUCGAUAAAAUGAUUUUUCUCUACUUCUUAAGAAAUAAACGUCUAUCGAGUAUAUAUUGCUAAAGCCUGUGAGUUUUUUUUCUUGUGAUGUUAUUUUAAUUUAACUUAAACUACAUUACGCUAUGUUUUAUGCAAUAAAACAGUAAAGAGGUUUUCUAUAGGUGAAUUUUAUACCUAUGUCAUUCGCGCGUUUGUCAAAUUGACUGAUGUGUACAUAGAGUGAGGUUAAUUUUGGGUUUAUUAUUGUUGAAUAGAUAAGUUUAUUUUGGCAGAGAACAGAAAACGAGGAUAAACCUUUCUUGCAGAAGAAAAAGACAAGCUAGUGAAAUUGCUGACGUCUCAUAGAGACACAAUAUUAAACAAAAAACGGAUGGGACCACGAACGAAGCCAAAAACAAAGCUUGGAUCCAGUUACAAAUAGUUUUAAUGCGAUAGGAACCGUUUACAGUUUCAGGUGGUGCGAGAAAUUGGAAAGACGUGUAAAAACAUGCUGCGCCCAGCCCACCUCAAAUUGAAUUGGUGCAGGAGGAUUAUGAUAAUGUUUGGUACAUCAUAUGAGGACUAAUAUUAAAAUAUUUGUUUAC